CCUACGGGAGGCAGCAGUGGGGAAUAUUGGACAAUGGGGGGAACCCUGAUCCAGCAAUGCCGCGUGUGUGAAGAAGGCCCUCGGGUUGUAAAGCACUUUCAGUGAGGAAGAACGCCUGUUGGUUAAUACCCAUCAGGAAAGACAUCACUCACAGAAGAAGCACCGGCUAACUCCGUGCCAGCAGCCGCGGUAAUACGGAGGGGGCGAGCGUUAAUCGGAAUUACUGGGCGUAAAGCGCGCGUAGGUGGCUGGAUAAGCCGGUUGUGAAAGCCCCGGGCUCAACCUGGGAACGGCAUCCGGAACUGUCAAGCUAGAGUGCAGGAGAGGAAGGUAGAAUUCCCGGUGUAGCGGUGAAAUGCGUAGAGAUCGGGAGGAAUACCAGUGGCGAAGGCGGCCUUCUGGACUGACACUGACACUGAGGUGCGAAAGCGUGGGUAGCAAACAGGAUUAGAUACCCCAGUAGUC
rnacentral:rRNA from 1 species